AUUUUGAUAAUACGGCACUAGUAUUCAGAAAUGACUCCAUUUCUAGUAGCCGCGUUUCAUCUUCUCUUGGCCGGUACAUCAUGCCAGGCUGCUUUGACUGAACUCGAUGCAUAUUCUUUGCAGGAGUUCGAUAAACUGGUUCGCCAGAACCUGGUGUUUAUGGUGGUAGAUCGAGUCAACGGUACCAUUUCCGAACAGAGACAAAUGCAGCAUGACUGUGCAAGUCUUGUCAACCAUACGGCGGAUAACUGUAAAUCUUGUGAAAGAGCACAGUAUGUAUCAUCAGAAGAUAGUCGUUGAAUGAAUCUCGAUCAUGAUUAUAACUCUUGACGCAAAAGACAGGAUAUCCCGUAUAACCAUCCUCGCUAGCCAAGGGUUUACGAUCUACUCCGCUCCUCUACAACGAGCGGAGUAGAUCGAAAAACAUCUUCCCAAGUAAAGAGUUUCUUAUCCGAACCCGUGGCUAGCAAAAAUGCGUUUAACAAGCAAUAUCUUGUUUGUCAUUUAAAACAACAUGAUUAAUUAAUGACUACAUGUAUAUUUCAUUUUCAUUGGCAUUCUGAUCGAAAAGACAAUAGUACUACACAUACUAGCUAGUAUUGAAAAAUAUUCCAAAACUUUUCUUCCGCGUAAUUUUGCUUCCAUAACUUCAUUACAGCGGCGUACAAAACCAUUUAGUUAAUGUAAUAAUAUAAAAAAUUAUCUUUUAUUUAAACGGUACACGCCAAUCUUUUUUCAAGCCACACCCCAACAAACCACCAAGUCGGCAAUCCUCUUGAGCAGGUGAUACCCAUAAUUCUCGAGCCAACUGUUUCCGCGGGAAAAUUUUUGGAACAUGUCGCAAACACUGUGGCGUCACCAGAGAGCCUCAAGUUACUGGGGAAAAAAGCAACAAAACUUGUAAAUGAUAUUGGAAGUGUAGCACAAAAUGCUGGAAGCUCUCUGCUUGGUAUGUCAAAAUUAUUGUCAGUUUGCUGUUUUCAUGUUCAUCAAUAGACAUGUAUAUUUUAUGCAGCGAGCGAAACUUUAUAAAAUUGUUAAAUAUAACAGACGGUGCCAAAAGCGCAUACUAUUCAUCAAUAAACGGUCUCAAAGACUUUGGUAACAAACUAACAUCUCUUACCUCCGACAUCGGAACCUCGUUGAAAUCCGCCGCGGGAAGCCUGGAUCACCUAUUCACUGACCAGAUCGGGGGGUCCCUGUCAAAUGUCGGCACCGGUUUAGUGGACGGGGCUAAAGACGUGUGGGGUAGCAUCUCUAGCGGAGCCACAGACGUGGCCAACAGCAUAUCAAGCGGAGCUAAAGACGUGGUCAACUCUAUUGGGAGUGGAAUUAGUAGCAUUGGUCACAGCAUUGGUCGUAAGUAUAGACAGAAAGAGAGCAUUGUUUCAAUUAGUGUCAUGUAUUCGUACAUUGGUAUUGUCCUUUCUGACAUAUACUAUUAUUCAAAUAAUAUCUGCAAUAUGACUACUCAGAUAUUAUUUGAAAAAUAAUACAUGUCAGAAAGGACAGCAUUUAACUUUGUCAACAUGACAUCAUAAUUGAAACGGUUUUGUGUUAUUAUUUACACAUACAAGUAUAUUGCCAAUCAACCGUCCGAAAAACUUAGGAAAAUUCAGUUUUAGGGGUCAUGUUUUAUUUCCUUAACGUCUUAGAGUCUUUCCAUUAACUUUCUUAUAUUGUUAGACAUCUUUGGAAGAAAACGAUCCGCCUGUCCUGACUGUGAUAAGAUCAACAGUCAAAACGGAGACGAGAUAGUGUCCAAUGGUAAGUACAUUAAGUACUCGUGCUGUAGCAUAAAGUAACAGGCGUAUGUAUCAAAUCGUUGUCCUCUGCCGGAGGUUUAUUGGUAAGAUCAUAUAGCAUUCCACAAUCAAAACUGUUACAUGUAUCAUUUUCAAAUUUUCAACUCAUUACCAAAUGAAAGAGCUGAUAUAAUAACAUUCUGUAAUAUACAUUCGAUGCAAUAAACACCAGCAACUUCAUCAAUUCAAUUGCAGCUGGUGCCGCAGUUAACGCUUUGUCUAGCAUACAAAAAAUACUUGAAUUCGUGUGUCUGUAAAACAUUUAUUGCUUGUUAAUUGUAAUACAUUAAAUAGUGUGUGGGUCCGACUUCAUGACUCGUCACAAUGCCGUCCUCACUGAAAUCAACCACAUGAGAGAUAUAUAUUCAGCUGCUGUCAACACCACUGUUAUACAAAAGGUUGAAUAUGAUCCAACCUCCAUUGAUGUCACUCAUGGAGUGCAGUUCAAGGUCGUUUAUAUCACGUACACCAUUAACGGACAGAGCAGACGAUACAGGCCCGCCUCUCCCCUCCGACUCACGGACCUCCCAACCAUGGCCGAGGGGGUCUCCAUGGAAAUCUAUGAAUCCUAUGUAUAAUCUCAUCAUUUGAUGUACUGGUGAUUUUUAUGUUAAAAAUCACUUACAGGGAAGAUUCAAUAUUAACAAAAAAAUAUUUGAAUAAAACUUACAAAAGG
rnacentral:misc_RNA from 1 species